AAAAACAUUUGGAAUUAGAUCACGAGGUGGUGCCUACUAAUUCCAACUUCACCAGAGCACUAUGUUGGACAAACACUUUCAUCUUCCUUUGCUCCUAUUUCAACAUUUUAAGGACAAUAUAUAUAACAACAUAAACUCACUACUUCUUUCACUCAGGUAGAGUGAGUCCAAAUGACUUCCUGAUCCCAGAUGAAAGAGAAAAAAAAAAAAGUUUAUUUACAAAACAGAGGCCAGGCCAGAUAUGGUCCAUGAGCCAUCGUUUGUUUGCUGGUAUGCAUCAUCAGAUAGAGGAGGUGAGAUGUACACAGGUGGAACAGUUAAGUAACAGGAUGAGUGUCAUGGACCAAGGAGCACCCAUUAGAUGGUGAGCAUGCCAAGAAUCUGUGGCACUUGCAUGUUGGAGAAGAGCGCAAGGUGAGAGAGGACAGGUAGGCUGGGGUUCAGUUCUGGAGGGCUUCAAAUUUAGCCUUUACACUCAGGAGCAAUAGUUCACAAUAAUAUUCUCCCCACGUUGGGAUACCAUGACAGGUGGCAUUCAUGUGUGAGACUCACAUCCAUAAGUAUACACUAGAAUAGACUGCAACAGAGAUGAGCCAGGCAUCAUGAGUUCCAAAGAACUCCCUGUGAAUGAAUUUAUUUUUCCAGGUACCGCAGAUACAGAGCCCCACCCCAGCCCUCUAUUUGAAUGACAAUUGCUUAUUCUCACGUGGACAGAGAAAACGAUUUAUUGAUUUACUUGAUGUGGGAGAGGAGAGAGAGUCUUAAGCAGACUCCACGCUGAGCAUGAAGCUGGAUGAAGGGCUUGAUCUCACAAUCCUAAGACCAUGACCCCGAGAUCAAACCAAGAGUCAGCUGCUUAACCGACUGUGCCACUCAGGAGCCCCGAUGGCUCAAGCCUUUUGAAGUUGUACUCCUACAUGAUCCUCCAGAACAAGAUGACUGCCCUAUUCCCUCUUAUGUGUGAAGGGACUGGUCUGUGACUCUCACUCAGCCUGUCCCAAAUGAUUAAACUGUAACAGUGGCCAGAAUGUGUUAGGACUCUGUGGAUUCAGAGGAGGCAGCAUAGAGAAUGGAGGGGGUACACAAGCUUCAGAGUCAAGUCCAGGCCCAAGUCCUGGCUUUUUCUCUUCUUAGUUGGUCAUCUGGGCAGGUUGACCUACUUGAGCCUCGGUUUUUCUCAUCAACAGAAUGAAUAUAAUGAUUCUUGCCUGAUAGGCUUGCUGGAAUGCCUGCUACAGUGCCUGGCACACAUAGAAAAGCACUCAGUAAACAGUAGCUAUGAGCUCUAAUUGGUCUGAGUGUCUGGGUUUUCUUCACGCAAGGUAGGAGGUGCAAGGGCAUAGGGAAAGCGGGAUUCUGGAAUGAACUACCCUCCCUGGCAGGUGCACUUCCUUCUACUCUCCAACUUGAAAAUGCUGCUGACAAGUGCGGUGAGUUUGAAUGCACUGCACUUCUGGAAA
rnacentral:lncRNA from 1 species